CAAGAUCAACUACAAGUUGAACGUGCAAACAUACAAGAGAGGAUUAACUUGGAGCGUGCUAAGAGAGAACAACUUGAGGAGAGGUUAAAAGAAGAGCGUGCUGAAAGGGAAAGAUUGUUGCAAGAGGAGCGAACAUCAAGACUGGAAUUUGAAAAAACAUGAUGGCAAAGUUUGUAGAAUUGAGCCAACAGAUGGGAACCCAACAGGUGCCUACGAAGAGGGUCGACAACAAAGAAAAUAGUAAUCCAAACUUGCAAAAUAUUCUGUUACAGAGAUCUAGUCCUAAUAAGACAUCAGGUUAAAGGCCAACUGCUAUUUCUUCAAAUGCGCUCAUACAAGCUGCAGCAAGGAAUUCUCAAAUGUUUAAAGCAAUGGUAAGUCAGAACCUUGCUUUCUCUUCAUAUUCACCUGCAUUUUAUAGGCCAUUGGCCUUCAUAAUUAGCUAGUUGCUUGUUCUCUUUUACCAUGUGUUGUCGCUGCAUCGAGUCACAACUUAAACAAAAAAUGAAUAUGUGCUAGCUAGGGACAUGAACUUUACUGAAACUAUACAUCGAGUCACAACUUAAAUUAAUAGCAGAAACUUUUAUUAUUGAGGAUUCCAAGUACCAGCUCAAAUUAUGGUUUUCUUAUUAUGAAAUUAAUGUAUGUCAUCGCUCGGCAAACUCUGUUGCUCACGAGCUUGCUAGUCUUGGUAGGAUGUACAAACCUAACCACUAUGUGGAAUGGGAGGCCGAUGUACCAGCCUUUAUGGCUGCAUGUGCUUUGGGUGAUUCAGCCCAACAUCCUUAAGUUAUAAAGUAAUGUUUUUU